rnacentral:rRNA from 1 species
UACGGAGGGGGCAAGCGUUAUCCGGAUUCACUGGGUUUAAAGGGUGCGUAGGUGGGCAGGUAAGUCAGUGGUGAAAUCUCCGGGCUUAACCCGGAAACUGCCGUUGAUACUAUUUGUCUUGAAUAUUGUGGAGGUAAGCGGAAUAUGUCAUGUAGCGGUGAAAUGCUUAGAUAUGACAUAGAACACCAAUUGCGAAGGCAGCUUACUACACAAUGAUUGACACUGAGGCACGAAAGCGUGGGGAUCAAACAGG